AUGUGUUCUUCCCCCUCAUAACAGUGGCUAGAAUGCGUUGGUGUGGCUGCAUUGCGGGAUUUUAGCCAUUUGAGGACCUCUCGAACUUGUGAGGUGGCUGCCGGGAGGACUGCAGCAGUUCAGACUCUUAAAUUGGGGUACACCGAGCACGUCAAGUAGGCCUUGAGCAAUGUGGGUCGUAGUUCAAGGUGUUUAGUGGACGCGCGACAGGUUUUGGAGGACCCGGGGCAGCAGGUUGAUUAGAUGGCUUCACUCACAUCCUACUGGGGAGGUUUUGGGUCUUUGGUAGUGCCGGCGUGUCAUGGUUUGGUCUUUUUGAUGUCUUUGUCAUGGUUUGGUCUUUUUGAUGUCUUAUUUGUGUUAGGCAUCAAAGUUGU